GAUGAACGCUGGCGGCGUGCCUAAUACAUGCAAGUAGAACGCUGAAGGAAGGAGCUUGCUCUUUCCGGAUGAGUUGCGAACGGGUGAGUAACGCGUAGGUAACCUGCCUGGUAGCGGGGGAUAACUAUUGGAAACGAUAGCUAAUACCGCAUAACAGUAGAUGUUGCAUGACAACUAUUUGAAAGGGGCAAUUGCUCCACUACCAGAUGGACCUGCGUUGUAUUAGCUAGUUGGUGAGGUAACGGCUCACCAAGGCGACGAUACAUAGCCGACCUGAGAGGGUGAUCGGCCACACUGGGACUGGGACACGGCCCCGACUCCUACGGGAGGCAGCAGUAGGGAAUCUUCGGCAAUGGACGGAAGUCUGACCGAGCAACGCCGCGUGAGUGAAGAAGGUUUUCGGAUCGUAAAGCUCUGUUGUAAGAGAAGAACGAGUGUGAGAGUGGAAAGUUCACACUGUGACGGUAUCUUACCAGAAAGGGACGGCUAACUACGUG
rnacentral:rRNA from 1 species